rnacentral:lncRNA from 1 species
AAGGACAUGAAAGGUUUGUAGGAAAUUGGAAGAUGUGUUGGAAAUGGUUGAUGGGAGAUGUAGUUUUAAAGGAAAGCCUCAGUCCAUUACAGAGGUGCUCUGACUAGGAAGUACAAGGCAGGGGGAGACUGGAGUCUUUUACAAGUAGUGCCUCUUUGCAGGAUCAUUGUGGUUAUUGCUAUAUCAUUUACAUAUACCACAUGGUGUGUUGAUAGCAGAGGUUGAAAACAGGCUGUUUUUGUGGAGGAGAUAUCAUGUGUGUGUUGAGAUAGUAAGACAAGAGUAAAGUAAGACUAGAUCAAGGUUCAACAUAAUAAGAUAGGACCUCACCUCAAAAUGGCCAACCCAUGGCCAGUUGUUUGUUUCUGGAAACAAUGGCCUCGUCUGAAAUCAGCCAAUCGCUACUACCCAUUUGUUGCUUGUAGAUUCUGAUGGAACCAGAAUUAUACCCUAAGUUCACUGGAAGGCUAGGUGGAGCCAUCCCAUACUGCUGUUGUGACGUUGUAUUAGUUAGUGUGACGACUGCUGCUCAUCUAAUGAUUAAUGGUUUAUAAUUGCGUGAUUAAAUGAAUCAGGCAAUUAUUGACUCAUUAACCUGGGGCACCAUGGGAAAAUUAACUCAAAGAAUAUCAGAAUAUUGAUUUUACAAGUUACUAAUUAAUCAAUUUCAUCUACAGUCUAAUUCUGAACGUCGCAUAAUCCGGAAAUCUGCACACACCCGAGUCCCACCAAUGAGUUCGUACCACACCAAUUUCAGUUGAUUAUUUAUUUACUAGGAAGCUAAAAUGAUAAUAAAAGAUACACGUACACAAAACAUAGUCUAGGCUAUUGAUUAGAACUUAGUACAAUGGGCCAAGAGACUAUGACGCGUUACCCAAAAUGGGGAUUUGAAAGAGAGAGAAAAAGAGAAAGUACACGAGAGAAAUAUACAUUUGGGUGCAUUUGUCAGCUAUGCUUAUUUUAACCCUAACCUUACCCCGAACUGCCACCCUUAUCGGUCAGAAUAUAAUGAUGUAAUUACGUGUUGAAGGUCUCCGAGGAGUCUCUGCGUGGACCGUUUAGGCUUCUCAAUGACGCACUUCUCUGGUGCAACUCUGGUUGUCCUCACGAUGUCAGUGUCCUUUUUGGCCUAGUGGUCUGGUUCCUCGCCCUUGUUCUGAAAGGGGUCUUCUGAGGCCAGCCAGCCCUGUAGCUCAGGGCUCACAGCGUAGGAAUGAAACAGUGUAGAUACGAUUUGAUGGGGAGUGGAGGCUGGGUGGUCUGGCUUGAAUUCACCCGCUUAGACGCAGCUACUCCUCCGUAACAUGGAUAGAAUAAGGUUCCUUUGUCUUCAACCUCGUGUUGCGUUUUGGGUUCGUUGACUACUCAGACCUUGGCUGCAGCUCGGGUCACUUAGUCUGAUAUGUUAAUUCUUAACUCACAUGUCUUAUACCCUCGGGUCAGAAGUGGGCGUAACCGCCUUUAGGGCAAUUGUCUGGGCAUACCAAGUUCAGAGGCAAGGUCUAGAUUUGACUCAAAUCCAAUUUUAGACAACUAACUUCACAUUUCAUCUUUACCAAAACAUUCUCUUUGAUUUGGAUAUUUUCCACACAACGUACAAUGUAUAAACAUCAAGCAUAUACUAGGAAAACUCUUAAAGUUACAAUGAUUUCGUAAUAACGUCAUCCUUUAACCUUUAAUAACAAAACAAAAAUGACAUACAUUUUCAUAUUGCAUCUAUCGUCAUUACCACCAUUGUCACUGACGGAAACCAUUGUUCCAAAGUCCAUUUAUUGCAUGUUUUAAUGUUCUGAGGCCGGUUCUCCAUAGUGAGAUGACAAAGGAAUUUUGUCUGUUGCCUAAGAUUUACAAUGGGCUUGAGGGGUCAUAAAACCCCCACAUCUUCAUACCCGUAUAUCUCUCCUCCUCUGUUGGGGGUGAGAGAUAAUCUGUAGGGUUUUGGUCUCCUGUAACCUGACCUGAUCAGGACGGUCAUGACACUGCCUUCACCUUUCCAGUCUUCAGAUUUGCCAUCACAGGAGGGGUAGGGAUUAGGGUAAAGGGCAAAUAAUUGUAUUGUGUGGCUUUUAGACACAGUGAUUUCUAAUGUGGCUGACACAGAAUCACAUUCUAACAAGAACUUGUAACACAAUGCAUUGUUUAUAAGAUCUGUAAUUAACUGAACAUUUAAAACAUUGUGAGAAGGAAUGCUUGUCAAAUGGGUGUCUCUAAUUUAUGAAAGCAUGGGAUAUGAAACCACAUUCAUUCUACCACCUGUCAAGCAUCUUCCUAUGAAUAGUGUAUUUCCAAUUCACAAGUUUACAUUUUAUCUUCAUCAUUCAUAUUUUUCUUCUGAGCCAAGAAACAAAGGCCUAAAUUCAGAUCAGAUCCACCUUAACCCAUGAUAAAUGACAACUGCUUAGCAUAUAAUUGUUUUUGUUUUUCGUGUUGUGAUCUAUACCUCCAUUAGGCUGAUAAACAUCUGUAUUAUUUUGCUUUAUGAUUUUCAUUGUGUCAUUAUCUUUAUAUAGCCUCCACUUUCUCAUUCUGAACUUCUAACACAGGUGGGACAGGUGUGACUUUGUGACAAUGACCUCAAGAGCAGCCAUUCAACAUUAGACAGCUCCAACACAAAACACCUGUGACAUCGCCUAAACAAAUACAAUUAUAUGCAAUGCAGUCUGUCGGUUAUUGCGGGUUAAGGCGCAUCUGAUUGAAUCAUGCCUGAUUUUGAGACAUUCUCAGAGACUACUUCUAUUUUCAGUCCCCAAACAGUCAUUCUAGCCACUAUGAGGAAACCAAGUAGAGGUUAUAAAGAGUGUACAGAUAUGCCAUAUAUGAAUAAAUAUAUUGUAAUUACAAAUGUUACACUGUACCAAUUCUUACUGUAGUAAUUUUAAUUCUUAUUUUAUUUAUUUAUUUAUUUUUAAGUGUGAAUUGUAUUAUUUCUUUAAAAUGUUCAAUGCAGCAUCUGUGGUGUCUUGUCAUGAUUAAAACAGUCCUCGACUGUGCUCUACUCUAUAGCCUUAGCUUACCAUUUACCCCAAACAAACCCCAAAAUACUAGAAACAUCCCAAAACAGCUACCCCAAAAUACCAGAAACUGCUACACGAAAGUUAUUCUGGGUAAUUAUUAGGACACGGUACAGUUACGGUCAACAGAAAGUGAAUUAAUGUUUCAGUAUUGUCAGAACAAUCGUUGGAAUGCAUGGCUAACUGCACUAGUAUUUUCUUCCAU